rnacentral:rRNA from 1 species
AGGACGAACGCUGGCGGCGUGCCUAACACAUGCAAGUCGAACGGAGUUAAUGAUUUCGGUUGUUAACUUAGUGGCGAACGGGUGAGUAACGCGUGAACAACCUGACCCAAAGAGGGGGAUAACAUUUGGAAACAGAUGCUAAUACCGCAUAAGACCACAACGUCACAUGGCGAAGGGGUCAAAGGAGCAAUCCGCUUUGGGAGGGGUUCGCGUCCCACUAGGUAGUAGGCGGGGUAACAGCCCACCUAGCCAACGAUGGGUAGCCGAGCUGAGAGGCUGAUCGGCCACACUGGAACUGAGACACGGUCCAGACUCCUACGGGAGGCAGCAGUGGGGAAUAUUGGGCAAUGGGCGCAAGCCUGACCCAGCAACGCCGCGUGAGGGAAGAAGGUUUUCGGAUUGUAAACCUCUGUCGCAGAAGACGAAGGAAGUGACGGUAUUCUGUGAGGAAGCCCCGGCUAACUACGUGCCAGCCGCGGC